GAUGAACGCUGGCGGCGUGCCUAAUACAUGCAAGUCGAGCGAACAGACGAGGAGCUUGCUCCUCUGACGUUAGCGGCGGACGGGUGAGUAACACGUGGAUAACCUACCUAUAAGACUGGGAUAACUUCGGGAGACCGGAGCUAAUACCGGAUAACAUGUUGAACCGCAUGGUUCAACAGUGAAAGACGGUCUUGCUGUCACUUAUAGAUGGAUCCGCGCCGCAUUAGCUAGUUGGUAAGGUAACGGCUUACCAAGGCAACGAUGCGUAGCCGACCUGAGAGGGUGAUCGGCCACACUGGAACUGAGACACGGUCCAGACUCCUACGGGAGGCAGCAGUAGGGAAUCUUCCGCAAUGGGCGAAAGCCUGACGGAGCAACGCCGCGUGAGUGAUGAAGGUCUUCGGAUCGUAAAACUCUGUUAUUAGGGAAGAACAAAUGUGUAAGUAACUAUGCACGUCUUGACGGUACCUAAUCAGAAAGCCACGGCUAACUACGUG
rnacentral:rRNA from 1 species